GACGUAGGGCGCAAGCGUUGUCCGGAUUUAUUGGGCGUAAAGAGCUCGUAGGCGGCUUGUUGCGUCGACUGUGAAAACCCGCAGCUUAACUGCGGGCCUGCAGUUUGAUACGGGCAGGCUAGAGUUCGGUAGGGGAGACUGGAAUUCCUGGUGUAGCGGUGAAAUGCGCAGAUAUCAGGAGGAACACCGGUGGCGAAGGCGGCUUCCUGGACAGAAACUGACGCUGAGGCGCGAAAGCUAGGGGAGCAAACAGG
rnacentral:rRNA from 1 species